UACGUAGGCAGCAAGCGUUGUUCGGAGUUACUGGGCGUAAAGGGUGUGUAGGCGGUUGUUUAAGUUUGGUGUGAAAUCUCCCGGCUCAACUGGGAGGGUGCGCCGAAUACUGAAUGACUUGGAGUGCGGGAGAGGAAAGUGGAAUUCCUGGUGUAGCGGUGAAAUGCGUAGAUAUCAGGAGGAACACCGGUGGUGUAGACGGCUUUCUGGACCGUAACUGACGCUGAGACGCGAAAGCGUGGGGAGCAAACAGG
rnacentral:rRNA from 1 species